rnacentral:tRNA from 1 species
GCCGGUGUGGCGGAAUUUAGGCAGACGCGCGGGGUUUAGGUUCCCGUGUCCUAGUGGCGUGCAGGUUCAAGUCCUGUCACCGGUACUUUA